rnacentral:rRNA from 1 species
AUCACUAAGCGGAGGAAAAGAAACUAACAAGGAUUCCCCUAGUAACGGCGAGUGAAGCGGGAAGAGCCCAGCACCGAAUCCCCUGUCGCUGCGGCAGCGGGAACUGUGGUGUGUAGGACGUCCGCUGGCGCGUCGCGCUCUCGUCCGAGUCCUCCUGAUCGAGGCCUUUCCCAUAGCGGGUGUCAGGCCUCUAGUCCAGGCGGGGACCGGCGUGCCUAUGGACCGUCUACGGAGUCGGGUUGUUUGGGAAUGCAGCCCAAAGUUGGUGGUAAACUCCAUCUAAGGCUAAAUACCGACACGAGACCGAUAGC